UACGAAGGGUGCUAGCGUUGUUCGGAAUCACUGGGCGUAAAGCGCGCGUAGGCGGCUAUUCAAGUCAGGGGUGAAAUCCUGGGGCUUAACCCCAGAAUUGCCUUUGAAACUGUAUAGCUAGAGUGUCGGAGGGGAUAGCGGAAUUGCUAAUGUAGAGGUGAAAUUCGUAGAUAUUAGCAGGAACACCGGUGGCGAAGGCGGCUAUCUGGACGACAACUGACGCUGAGGCGCGAAAGCGUGGGGAUCAAACAGG
rnacentral:rRNA from 1 species